rnacentral:rRNA from 1 species
CCCUUAGAUGUCCUGGGCCGCACGCGCGUUACACUGAUGCAUUCAACGAGCUUAUAACCUUGGCCGAGAGGCCUGGGCAAUCUUGUUAACGUGCAUCGUGAUAGGGAUAGAUUAUUGAAAUUAUUAAUCUUGAACGAGGAAUUCCUAGUAAACGCAGAUCAUCAAUCUGCAUUGAUUACGUCCCUGCCCUUUGUACACACCGCCCGUCGCACCUACCGAUUGGAUGGUCCGGUGAAGCCUCGGGAUUGUGGUUCUUGCCGCUUUAUUGUGGCGGGACCGCGAGAACUUGUCUAAACCUUAUCAUCUAGAGGAAGGUGAAGUCGUAACA